AUGAAGCACAUGAGAAACGCUGCAGCUGUAGAUUUCUCUGUGAUUCCGGGAGGGAUAAGAGAUGGUUUCAUCAGCGAAAUUCUGAGAGCAAAUGCAUCAUCCGCUAUGAAAUAAUUAUUUUAUAUAACGGUGUCAAGCAGCACAAAG